UGCCACACUGGUGAGGAGGCUGACAGUGCGUGAGAAGCUGGGAGGACACACAGCCAGGACAGGUACAGCCUUCCUUGUUCCUCCUUUUUAGUAUAUGGUCAGUACAUGCAGUUUGCAUGUAUAUUGUUUGCUGCCAGCCUGCUUCAAGCCAGGUGACCCCAAGAAGCAUUUAAAGGAUCAGCAAUUUUUCUGCCCUGGGAAAGCCUUGGAAUCAGAGUUAUAUCUUAAGGCAGAGGUGGCUGACCUGGGCAAUAAAAUACACAUGCAGUUCACAAAAGAGGAGGUGGUAUGUCUUCUGAAUAGCUUUUCUGGAAGUGCAGGUGUUCCAUUUUCUGGCACAAGGAAGGUUUGAAAUGUCAGUGCUGUGCAUUUCAUUUAAUGCUCCACUAUGUUUUUUGUCCACUGGGAGUCAGGAGUGGUGCUGGAUAUUAAAUUGCGGUUUUUAAAUACAUAUUUUGAAGUCAACGGAACAUAACAGAGAAAUGUCUGAAGCAAAGGCUCCUACAAGACAGAAAUGAUUCUGUUUUUCUACAUUUUAUAAUUUCAACUAUGCUAAGAUGAAAACAUGCUUGCUACAAAAGGCGGAAACAAACAUCACCUCAAUUUCAUGAAACAUCUUCAGUGAUUUUCCGUGAUAGUAAAUGUAGAGUUUCAAGAAACACUAAUUCAAACUAAUGAAAUCUCUGAGUUUCAAUUGAGGAAAAGAUAACCAUCUGUUGUUAACUGUUUUUAGAAACCACAUUGAACUGCCUAAGACAUUCCUUUGUGCAUUCACAUAUUGAAAGUUGUUUCCAUCUUGUCUGAGUAGAUAACAUGAAACAGCUCUAAUCCUUUGCAAAUUCCUUCUUUCAUUUUCCAUGCUGAAUCAGGUGUGUCCUUGGUAUAGGAGUUAUUUUCUGCCUGAUGAUUGGGGCAGAAUAUGUUCACUAGUGUGUGUACUUAAAUGCAGUUUUCAAAGAAAUCUGUGAAAACUCUCACAUGAAUUUAAGUCCUGUCUUGUAUGGUACAGAAAAGCAGAAGAGGCAUUGUACACACCAAAUAAGCAAAACUCUACAUAUCCUUAAGAAUGUGCAAUUAUGAUGGUCUUUUUUUAUUAGUUGUACAUGUAGCCCUUGGCACAAAGUACUCUAUAACAGAACCUGUAUGCAUCUUCAUGGGUUUUAAUAAUCUGAUUAGACUCCAACUGAGAUGAAAUAAAUUAAAAUGUUUUUGUUUUGUUUUUUUAACAUUGAGUUUUCUAAUUGUCUUAUUCUUUU